UGGGGAAUUUUGGACAAUGGGCGAAAGCCUGAUCCGGCAAUGCCGCGUGUGUGAAGAAGGCCUUCGGGUUGUAAAGCACUUUUGUCCGGAAAGAAAUCCUUGGCUCUAAUACAGUCGGGGGAUGACGGUACCGGAAGAAUAAGCACCGGCUAACUACGUGCCAGCAGCCGCGGUAAUACGUAGGGUGCAAGCGUUAAUCGGAAUUACUGGGCGUAAAGCGUGCGCAGGCGGUUUGCUAAGACCGAUGUGAAAAUCCCCGGGCUCAACCUGGGAACUGCAUUGGUGACUGGCAGGCUAGAGUAUGGCAGAGGGGGGUAGAAUUCCACGUGUAGCAGUGAAAUGCGUAGAGAUGUGGAGGAAUACCGAUGGCGAAGGCAGCCCCCUGGGCCAAAUACUGACGCUCAUGCACGAAAAGCGCGGGGAGCAAAACAGGAUUAGAUACCCUGGUAGUCCACGCCCUAAAACGAUGUCAACUAGUUGUUGGGGAUUCAUUUCCUUAGUAACGUAGCUAACGCGUGAAGUUGACCGCCUGGGGAGUACGGUCGCAAGAUUAAAAACUCAAAGGAAUUGACGGGGUCAUAGCUGUUUCCU
rnacentral:rRNA from 1 species